AAUGGGAAACUGUGGAGUGGGACAGUGGAGAAUUGGUGGAGUCUGUGCCUUGUCCAUGCCAAACAUCAGAAUUGAGCUGGAGGAUGAGGGAUGAGGAAGAUAACUUAUUGCUCAGAUUUUACAUCCCAGUGAUUUGAGAAGUUGCAUUCAAAACAUGAGACUUAUGCUCCUCCUAGAACACAAUUUUUGUCAAUGUUGUUUCAAGAAAAAAUGACCAGUUGCUCCAUCUGUCAGUAAGCCUUUUCCAAGGAGAAGGAAAUAUCAACACUCAACACAAAAUGAGAUUGCCCUUUGAAAGCAAAAAGACUUAGAGGCACAAAGCUCAUUAUGCGUAACAGACCACGUUGUCCAUCAUAACAAAGGGCUAAAAAAGUGAAGACAAACCAGCACAUACAAGAAGAUCGUAGGACAAUGUCAGUUACAUAGGCUUGUCUCCUGCAGACUGGGAGAUGAAUCAUCAUCAGUGGUUUUGGGGAAGAUAUUUAGACGUUAUAGCAAAGAGGUGAGUUUAGGGUGAGUAUGGAGAAGUUAUGCACAUUUAUAUGGAGCUCCGUGUAGGUUUGAACAGAAGCAUUUUUUAUCAAAUAAGCAGAUGGGCAGUAUGUGGACUAAUUAAAGCUUGAAACUUUUUCCUGCGUAAUAAAUGAAAAAAAAAAAAAAGAUUCAUAGAAUUAGAAUAGUUGUCAAUGAUUUGACAGCUAUUGAAAAGUGAUUUUUUCGUGUGUUUGUUUAUUGUGAGGGGAACUGUCAAAAAUGCAAAGAGCUGUGUGAGCUAA